rnacentral:rRNA from 1 species
UUCACGGAGAGUUUGAUCCUGGCUCAGGACGAACGCUGGCGGCGUGCUUAACACAUGCAAGUCGAACGAUGAAGCCCUUCGGGGUGGAUUAGUGGCGAACGGGUGAGUAACACGUGGGCA